UGUAACAGUGUCCACAUCUACACUAAGAGCUCAAUGUACUGCUAUAAAUUGCUCUAAUCGCCAAUGUUGAUGACCCUACCAGUCUUUCUUCAGGUUCUCUGCCACAGAAGAUGUCAACAGCGGGUCCAGAAUACUCGUCAACAAGAUCUCCUACACCGAACUACGGUGUACUUGUCAACCACCUGCCGUCUUUGUUCUGAACACUGAAUUUGAUCAGUUUUCCAACAAGCAAACCAAUAACAGGCUAAAUUGGAAUGCAGUUCCAACGCUAUUUGACAUCACUAACCCGCCGAAACGUCUGUUUUCCCAACGCAGGUUACUCAAGAGGAAAAAUGGGAACCUCCCGUUACCCACACACAAUUGUGCAAAAGACGAUUUAUUUAUUAUUGGACAUGUUGGAAAUGUCCUUUGGGGUAAGCAAGGGGUGGGGCUAUCAUUGUUUGAAAUAUGUUGAAUUUUACACCGUUUUAAUCGGUUAACUGAUAUGCAAAAUACUGCAGCCCUGUAUAUCUCGUGCACAAAAUGAUGUAAAUAUUACCAUGAAUAACGGAAAUAAAAAGUAUUUUCCUUGU